CACUGUAAAAAAUUGCUGUAAAAAAACGGGGAAUUUUGGACAGUAAUUUACCGUUUCUCAUAAAUACAGUUGAAUACUGUAAAUAAACAUUAAUUUGACAAGCAAACUAAUAACAGCAAGCUACUGUUCAGUCUUACGGGAUAAUACAGUAUUUUUUGGUCUGGUCAGGCAUGUCAGACAUGUGACGAACUCAUCUGCAACCACGAGUCAAACUGAUUUAACCACACUGUUUUUCGGCAUUUUAUUAUACGAGAAGGAAGCAGAAUUAAAGACUAUAUCCAUUUUCACUCCGAUUGUGACCUUACCAGCACUGAGACGGACAACGAAUUCACGUGUUUUUUACUCCUCGCCUGUAUAUCAAGUAGCUGGUGAUGAAGUCACAUUUGGAGGUUGGAUGAUCAGCAGUGAACAUCAUCUGUGAAGGCAUCCAGCAAAGCUUCAUCAGAGGGCUGGCUGCAGUUUUCGCAUGUGUUCAACUUGCAAUACCAAGAUGAAGCUGCGAGGACACUGGAGUUUGUUCAAAGAUGCUUAAUUGGUGUGAACCCUAAGAGGGGAACAAAAGCCAGGCAGGUGAAGGUGUCCAAGAAGACGGGAAAGCUUGUACAGAAAAGAGCAGUAACUCUGAAUCCCCAUGUGGCCAUCCUCAUCAAAAACUUCAUGGACUUUGAGUGGGGCUUUCACAUUGUGUGCUGCAAUGUUGUGAUAUUUAUGUGACAUCACAGCAUUAUGUUUUAUUCAGCCCAGUCUCAUUGGUGAGGCAGAAACUGACAUUUAAGAAUGCACUGAAUUUUAUUAUAUUUAAUAAAAACAGUGUUUUAUCAUCAUCCUUUGUUUGAGAAUUUUUUUGCAAGCAAUUUUAAGUGUUUAUUUUAAAAUUACAUUUUAACAAUGCUAGAAAAAUCACAUUCUACAGUAUAAAUUACAGCAGGAACCCUAAAAUAACAGUAUAAUGCAACCAAACAUCUGACAGUAUUAUACUGUGCAGCUCCCUUUUUUUACAGUACCGUCCCGUAAUAUUUGUACAGUAAAAAACUGUUGUUGUAAAUUACAGUAGGUAAUCUGUAAAAUUACAACUUUAUGCUGGCAAAUCUAGCUGCCAGUAUAUUACUGUAAUUUAACAGUGAAAUUUUUUACAGUGUAC